GACGAACGCUGGCGGCGUGCCUAAUACAUGCAAGUAGAACGCUGAAGGAGGAGCUUGCUUCUCUGGAUGAGUUGCGAACGGGUGAGUAACGCGUAGGUAACCUGCCUGGCAGCGGGGGAUAACUAUUGGAAACGAUAGCUAAUACCGCAUAAUAGUAGAUGUUGCAUGACAUUUGCUUAAAAGGUGCAAUUGCAUCACUACCAGAUGGACCUGCGUUGUAUUAGCUAGUUGGUGAGGUAACGGCUCACCAAGGCGACGAUACAUAGCCGACCUGAGAGGGUGAUCGGCCACACUGGGACUGAGACACGGCCCAGACUCCUACGGGAGGCAGCAGUAGGGAAUCUUCGGCAAUGGACGGAAGUCUGACCGAGCAACGCCGCGUGAGUGAAGAAGGUUUUCGGAUCGUAAAGCUCUGUUGUAAGAGAAGAACGAGUGUGAGAGUGGAAAGUUCACACUGUGACGGUAUCUUACCAGAAAGGGACGGCUAACUACGUG
rnacentral:rRNA from 1 species